GACGUAGGGGGCGAGCGUUAUUCGGAAUUAUUGGGCGUAAAGGGCUCGUAGGCGGUCUGUCACGUCGGGAGUGAAAACACGGGGCUUAACCCCGUGCCUGCUUCCGAUACGGGCAGACUAGAGGUAUGCAGGGGAGAACGGAAUUCCUGGUGUAGCGGUGAAAUGCGCAGAUAUCAGGAGAAACACCGGUGGCGAAGGCGGUUCUCUGGGCAUUACCUGACGCUGAGGAGCGAAAGUGUGGGGAGCGAACAGG
rnacentral:rRNA from 1 species